rnacentral:rRNA from 1 species
AUUGAACGCUGGCGGCAUGCCUUACACAUGCAAGUCGAACGGCAGCACGGGUGCUUGCACCUGGUGGCGAGUGGCGAACGGGUGAGUAAUACAUCGGAACAUGUCCUGUAGUGGGGGAUAGCCCGGCGAAAGCCGGAUUAAUACCGCAUACGAUCCCCGGAUGAAAGCGGGGGACCUUCGGGCCUCGCGCUAUAGGGUUGGCCGAUGGCUGAUUAGCUAGUUGGUGGGGUAAAGGCCUACCAAGGCGACGAUCAGUAGCUGGUCUGAGAGGACGACCAGCCACACUGGGACUGAGACACGGCCCAGACCCCUACGGGAGGCAGCAGUGGGGAAUUUUGGACAAUGGGCGAAAGCCUGAUCCAGCAAUGCCGCGUGUGUGAAGAAGGACUUCGGGUUGUAAAGCACUUUUGUCCGGAAAGAAAUCCUUGACUCUAAUACAGUCGGGGGAUGACGGUACCGGAAGAAUAAGCACCGGCUAACUACGUG